CUGAGCCUCAACAAGAGGUUGUAGCGAUACACACAGCAUGAGCAUGGGGACCUUUCUUUUUUUUAAAAAUGUAACACAAAGGGAGAGAGAGAGAGCGAGAGAGCAGUCUAACCUCUCUGUACAAAGGAGAUCUGAUCGACCCUCAUGAGUGUGGAGGGGUGGCUUGAGGUGGGGGAUAUGGUUCUGCCUCGCCUGCAUGAGUGCUCCGGAGGGAAAGGCAAACCAAAAGGCAUGCCUUUUUAACAAAAGGUGCAGAACCUGGAAAUUAAGAAAUUUGGAAAAGAAAAACAAGAAUAAGACUGAAGAUGUUGUCGGCUUUCGUUGCUGUGCUUCGGACCUUCACUGAGCUCAUGUUUGUGUUUUAAAGGAAGAACUUACUCAAAGACACGUCCAGAUGUAUUCAGCAGCUGUGAGUGGCUGUGAUGGGGAUGGAGUGCUGUACGGCUGACUGACCUAGCCCACUUAGCAAGAAAGAGCCCAUGUUCAGUUUCCUGGUCUAAGCACAACCUUGAUGCAGGAGGGAACCUAAAGAAAUCACCCCUGGGUCAAAACUUCAUGUUGAGUUGCUGAAAGGGAAAAACUGAGCAGCUUUUCUCCUUUUGUGGUCAUGACCUGUCAGGGAACUGAAGCCCUGCAUGGAUACCACUGUCAUCACCCACACCAUCACCGUCAUCAUGCUAUUUAAAGACUUAAUUCUCUAUUCCAGUAUUGCUGCAGAUACUGCUUGGUCAUAGACAAGUUAGUUUAAAUAUCUUAUCAAUGGAGAACAGUUCUAGGAAACCAAAUAAGCGUUAUUGAUUAGUCUAACAGUUGAA